AUAACGACUCUCGGCAACGGAUAUCUCGGCUCUCGCAUCGAUGAAGAACGUAGCGAACUGCGAUACUUGGUGUGAAUUGCAGAAUCCCGUGAACCAUCGAGUCUUUGAACGCAAGUUGCGCCCGAAACCUUUGGUCGAGGGCACGUUUGCCUGGGUGUCA
rnacentral:rRNA from 1 species